AUAUAAUAAUUGUCAUCAUUGAACUAAAUCAGGCAUUUUCGCAGCGAGCAGAACAUAGUUUGAAAUUGGAAUUAUAUACGUGGAUAUAUAUAGAACUAAGAAUAAAAGAAUUUCAUUAAUUUUAUAAUUUAGUACAUAAUACUCUC